rnacentral:rRNA from 1 species
CCUACGGGUGGCAGCAGUGGGGAAUAUUGGACAAUGGGGGCAACCCUGAUCCAGCCAUGCCGCGUGUGUGAAGAAGGCCCUCGGGUUGUAAAGCACUUUCAGUGAGGAAGAACGCCUGGUGGUUAAUACCCAUCAGGAAAGACAUCACUCACAGAAGAAGCACCGGCUAACUCCGUGCCAGCAGCCGCGGUAAUACGGAGGGUGCGAGCGUUAAUCGGAAUUACUGGGCGUAAAGCGCGCGUAGGUGGCUUGAUAAGCCGGUUGUGAAAGCCCCGGGCUCAACCUGGGAACGGCAUCCGGAACUGUCAAGCUAGAGUGCAGGAGAGGAAGGUAGAAUUCCCGGUGUAGCGGUGAAAUGCGUAGAGAUCGGGAGGAAUACCAGUGGCGAAGGCGGCCUUCUGGACUGACACUGACACUGAGGUGCGAAAGCGUGGGUAGCGAACAGGAUUAGAUACCCUAGUAGUC